rnacentral:rRNA from 1 species
ACCAGACUCCUACGGGAGGCAGCAGUGGGGGAUAUUGCACAAUGGAGGAAACUCUGAUGCAGCGACGCCGCGUGAGGGAAGACGGUCUUCGGAUUGUAAACCUCUGUCUUUGGGGAAGAAAAUGACGGUACCCAAAGAGGAAGCUCCGGCUAACUACGUGCCAGCAGCCGCGGUAAUACGUAGGGAGCGAGCGUUGUCCGGAAUUACUGGGUGUAAAGAGAGCGUAGGCGGCACUACAAGUCUCAUGUGAAAUACCCGGGCUUAACUUGGGGGUUGCGUGGGAAACUGUAGAGCUUGAGUACAGGAGAGGCAAGCGGAAUUCCUAGUGUAGCGGUGAAAUGCGUAGAUAUUAGGAGGAACACCAGUGGCGAAGGCGGCCUACUGGACGGUGACUGACGCUGAGGCUCGAAAGCGUGGGGAGCAAACAGGAUUAGAUACCCGAGUAA